rnacentral:RNase_P_RNA from 1 species
CCAGGGGGCUGGGCAGCCGCGUCGGAAAGCGAUUUCCGCCGAGGAAAGUCCGGGCUCCACGAAGAAAGGGUGGCGGGUAACGCCCGCCCGGUCGACGCUUUUUGUGCCGGCCGAGGGACAGUGCCACAGAGAGCAAACCGCCGAUGGCCCCGAGUUCCUUCGGGAGCGCGACGGCACAGGCAAGGGUGAAAGGGUGCGGCAAGAGCGCACCGGGGCGCACGGCAACGUCGCCCGCAUGGUAAACCCCACCCGGAGCAAAGCCGAAUAGGGGUCGCGCGUCCGGCUUCCGCAAGGACCGGGCAGGGUGCUUCGCCCCACGCGACCCGGGUUGGCUGCUCGAGCCAUGGAGCAAUCCAUGGCCCAGAUGAAUGGCUGCCCCUGCGGCGCAGGUCCUUCGGGAUACCGGUUGCAGGACAGAACCCGGCUUACAGGCCCCCUGGCAUC